AUAAUAUAUUUUAAGAGGGGUUUUUUUUCGGCGGCUGCAUAAACCCCUGAUAAAUUUUGGGCGGUUCUCUGAUGAAUCGACCGUAACAACUAAAUAUUUUUCGAGUUCAUUCCCCUUCCUCGCGAGACUUCAUUCACUUUUCUCUCCCACAGUCAUUGAAGUCAUUUUCCCCCAACCCCACCCAUUCCCCGCGCCAUUUAUUCACGAACCUUCAUUCACGUUUCUCUCCCUCAGCCUCUAUGUACUCAUUUUUUUUUUCAAUCAUACUCCUUCCCCGCACCUUUUAUUCAUGUUUUUUGGACUUCAAAUAGAGUUUGGAGUAUUCGCGCUAGGAGCAUGGCAAGGAGGAAGUUUUUGUCUCCUCCGUUUUGGGUUCAGAUCAUGGGAUCUUCCGUAAUUCUUCUAAUUUCAUCUAAUUUCUUCAACGUUCGUAAUUCCUUCUCAAAUUCUUCUCAUUUCUUCAUCAUCACUCUCUCUCUGAGGUAGGUUUUUCACUCUUCGCUUUCUCUUCUUCGCACUAAUGGUCGCCACACGCCUCCUUCCUUUUCCCCUCUCGCACCACCUGCGCCUCUCUCCUCCGUGAAUUACAGUCGUCUCUGACUAUUAGGUUUUGAGAGAGAAAGAAAUAAAAGCAUGAAGGCAAAGAGAAAAGGGGAAAACACUCUUCACACUCAGAUCUGAAAGAACAAGCACCAGGGAACGAUGAAGGUGGGAAACCAGAGAAAGAGGAAGUCACACACACUCUAAAAGGUUGAAAAGCAGAUGGAGCAAGUGCAGAUUAAACCAAAUGUAGAAAUCUGUCUCAAUGAUUUGAAGCUUGUUCUUGGACCAGAGUUGAAGAUAGUUUAUCCUUUGAUUCUUAAUUUCAGUGUAAGUGGAUAAUAUUAGUUUGAUGCAACACUUGGAUUUUGAACCAGUUCAAACUGAACGACCAGGAGAGUUAAUUGCUUACUACAAAAUUGCACGUAAGAGUAUUUUUAUGUUUUCCUGUUAUGUGUUCUCUUUUUGAAAGGAAUAUUUAAUUGAUACAUUUAUCAGGUCAUUACAA